CCAGGAUUUAGUUGAAAUUAAUAAGACUUUUGCUUGUAGGCUUCCUUUGAAGUAUUUAGCUGUCCUGCCUGCUCCUUUGAGUGCUGUAUCUUGAAGGCCAGUCAUUUUUUUGACUUUUGUUAUGAUGACCUUCAGAAUAAAUAUUCAGGAUUCCUGGCACUGUGCAAGUGGAUGCUUUGCAGGAACCUUCAAGACCCUCAGGAAUUGCCAGGUCCUGCCUGCAAGGAGUAGGAUCAGCCAACAUUCUCCAUGCAGGACCUUCCUCUGUCCUGUGUCAUUUGGCAAAACAACACAGUAGAAUCUCCAGUGUUGGUUACAAAACACUCACAAUGGGCAUUGAAACACACUGAAUUUGCUAAUAUGUCUCUUCAUAACUUUUAUGUCUAGAAGCCCCAGCUGUGAUCGGGGCCUUGUUGUGUGAGAUUAUGCAAAUACAUAUUUUGUACAAACAGGAUGAUGAAAUCACAUGGAAAAUAUCAUAAUAAUAGCAGAAAAAGAGCAACAGGGGAAAGCUAAAAACCACACUGAGUUGCUUCUUCAGGGUCAUGUGGUGGGCCACUGGCAAAGGCAGGAACAGCAGUGGGUCUCCUGGGUUCCAGGCUGGUCCUUAUCUGCCAUGGCAUCCUGCCUCUUCCCAACCCUCCCUGUGCUUUCCCAGCGCUCCUUUAAACUCUGCUGCAGAGCUGCAACACCAAGGGGGUUCAGCUAAUUCAAUUUACCCCUCAUUUGUCAAUCUGCUCCCCUCCCCAGAGCCCUGUG